CGCGGAGCCCCCGAGCCGCCCUAGGGCGGCGGCGGGUCCUCUCCCGGCGGGCGCUCGGAGCUGCCAAGCAGCGUUCCAUCAGGCAUCCAUUUCUGUUCCCUUCAGCGGAGGUGAAAUGAUCCUUUCCAGCUGUUGUCCAGAAGCACCUAGGGACUCCUCCCUUCAGAUACUUCCAGCACUCCGAUGAACCACGGAAUUGGAACCCCUUCAUUUAGACGUCUGUUGAGCUACUGGGAUACACUGGGCCCUGUGAUGGAGAUCACAAGCUGAGCAAGAUGCGGCCCCUGUUGGCAGAGUACUUCCAAGCCCAUGGGAAACAGACACACACAACCAAGGAGAACUCAGAGACGUGAACACCCCGAGUUUCAUGAACCAAGUGCCGCAGGAAUCCAGAGGCCCUAGACUCCAGAGCCGGAACUCCUGUGGGCACCUCCCGGAGCCAGGACUGUGAAACCGAACACGUGGAUAGAACACCCAGGAGGACGUUCUGUGCUCCAGGGCCCUCUAGCCCCAAACCCCACUUUUUCUCCCUAAGACAAGGCUUCCUAGUCUGGGGCCUUCAGACGUUGGCUGUAAUACCUAAAACGUGUCGCAAGGUGGCAACGUUGUGGCGAGAAAUAGACUUUUUAAAAAUCCUGGGGUUUUUUUUCAAAGCAUAUUUUCCCUAUUAAUGUUUCAUUUAACUUAAUUAGAAUCUGGUAAACUAAUUAAAGUAGCUACGAGCCCCGCAAUCAGCAAU